UUCACUUUCAAGCAUUCGUUUAUUUCAAUUUAAACAAUUAUAUCAAAUGAUAACAAUACAGCAUUGGUCUAAUAACUAACAGUAAAUAAUAUUUGUAACGGAAUUUAGUGUUUUAAAAUAGGCCAUCUAAGGUAGCAAAAAAACCUUCAAGAUGAAUCAUUAACAAUUAAUUUCAAUAUUUAUUUAAUGAAAAUAAUGAGAAUCAAAUAAAUUCAAAUGUACCUUACAAACAGACGCCAUUAUAGUUUGUACAACAAUGACAUUAUUGAUUUUUUGGGUAAAGGCGCUGAAAUAUUUAAAAAUUUUUAUUAAAGUAUUAUGUGUUUUUUUUUCUCAAAUUACGAUUGAAUAUUUUUACAUAACUUAAUAAAUAAUAACCGUGAAACGAGGAUUUACGAAUGCUGUUGACGUCACAAUCGACCGCCACGACAACUGGGAGUGCAAUUGAACAGGACCGGCGUGGCCCUAAAUUAUAUCGACGAAAUUUUGUUUUUGUUAUAAUUUAUAUUAUUUCGUUGUCUAUUAUUGUUUUUGUAUAACUAACCGUGGAUAUUUUGUUAUUACAUAUACGGGGGUUGUUCGUUUUAAAUCUUAUAAAUCAAUGAUUCACCUCGAAAGUUCAAGAUAAUACUGAUGAAAUGAAUAGAAUUAUUGUACUACAUUGGUUUCGAUCUAAUAUUAUUUAAAAUCUAUAAAAUUAUUCGGCUACCUAUUCUAAUCUUAAAUUUAAGAGCAUUAUCUAUAUAAUAUAAUAAUUUUUUUUGUUCAUAAAUUGUUUUAGAAAAUAAAAAUUUCGUAUUAAAUUGAACCGAAGCCUAAUGUUGGACAUAAUUUAUUUCGCUGUUACUUUUAGGCUCUCAAAACAUACAAAUAUUAGGAAUGUAUCAUUACACUUUAUCUAAUUGGUUUUACGAUAAAACCACGGAAGAUAUUUACAAGCCAAAAGUUGUCGAUCUAAAGAUGAUUCUUUCCUAAAAAAAUAUAUAUAUACAGGGAGCGAAAUAAAAAUUUCGUUCUCAUAUGCAUCGUGUUUUAGUCCACGGGAAUCCAGAGGCGGCUUAAGCCAAGCGGUAAAUUUAAUAUUUUAUGCGGAAUCUAUCAAGUAGAACGGGUAGAAGGUUUUUGGUUUUUUCCAAAAUCAGGUAUAUCGAGAAGGAUUAAUUUAACCUAUUCGGAUAUGUUACUUGUAAUUUCCUGGGUCAGUUGUCGGUCAGUCGGUGUAAUUAUCGGCGUAGUGGUAGUAUACAGCGUGUUUGAAACGAGUAUCACUAACUUUUUCAGAAAUUCCACCUCAAUAAUUUUCCUCGAUCGUUUUAACGCAAUAUAUUCAAACUUGACGGUACAGAAAUCAUCUUUAGAUACCUCAACUCGUAUAUGAAAGCAUUUUCCAACUAUAUUAUACAAUAAAAAGCUUGAAUUAUAAAUAUGAUAUGUUAUUAUAUAUUUUUCGUUUGGAGCCAGAAGUGGAAGUUGCAUCGAUUUUAUUGGCUAUAAAUUUCAAUCGAAAUAACGAUUCUAUACAGCGUGUCGUAAUAAUAAAACGUAAAAAAAUAUUUGAAAAUUCUAGAAUUAGUCCGGUCAAAUUAGACAUUGCAGAUAAAAAAAUAAUCGUCGAUACCUUGGGUUUGUCAUUAUAAAGAAGAUCCUAGAAGUUCUCAACCAUUUCAUGGGUGUCAUUGAAGUCAAAUGUCAAAAUUUUCGGUUUUUUGGAUUUUUCUUCCGAACGGUAAAUUUUAUCAAAACAAUACAUUAGAUAUAAAUUGUAGAUCAUAAAAUUAUCUACAAAAACAUCCCCCGUACUUUUUUUGCUAAAAAUCAUCAUUUCGAAGAUAUGGCGAUUUUAAAAAAUGUUUUUGUUAAAAUUUCGAUUAAUGACCUUGAGUAAUAUUUUUAGCACACAUAAAAACUUAUUUGUGUAUCCAAAUCGAGACUCUUGCAGGACGGACUCGUGAUUAAAAUUCAGUUUUGUGAAAAAUUUUUUCAUGCGAAAUAUCUAUUUCGACCGGACUAAAUUCUUAAUGAAAUAUUUUAAACACCCUGUAUCUCAUAAACUAACAAUUUCAAAAAAACAAAAUGAAGGUUUUGAAAUAUUUUUUAACGAUUCUUCUAUUCAAUGUAGAUAUUUAAAGACACCCUGUAUAAAUGUAUUACUUGUCCUAAUGAGAAUAGCUCUCGGUCAUAUAUUGGAUACAUAUAUAAAAAAAAAUAAAUCUAUUUCAAUAUUGAAUUUAUAAACAACUUUAUCUCUGCUAUUGAACUAGACGUCAAAGUUUUUAGGUUACAUUUCAAUAAAUGCAUCAGUGUUGCCAUUAAUUCGGCGCAGUUGUUUUCAUGGAAAAUUCCACGAAAUCUACAAUUCAAAUCCUCUCAAAUACUGACUUGAUCGUUAAAUAUAUUUUCCGACGAAAUACUUAAUCAUAAUUAGAACUAAUACUUCGAAUAAUAUUAUUGAAUACACAUCUAUUACAAAUCCAACAAAUCGACGAAAAUAGACAACACCGCACGAGAUUUUAUUAUUUGAGCAUAGGUCGACCGGAGCGUGACGUCACGGCCGGCAUAUUGUUCACAUUCCAAAUAAAGUUUGUGUGUGUUAUUUAAAGUUAUUUAAAAAGUGUUUCAUUGAUUGUGUUUUGUACCAGAAGGUAUUUUUUACGAAAUUUACCUACGAAAAUCAGAAAAAAUCAGAUUAACGACAUACUUUGUUUGGAAAUUGGAUCAUUGACCUGCGCUAGCAAUGGCGGUGUGUGACGUCAUCAUUCCCGUAGACUGUUGAAACAAAAUGUACAGAGACGUACUUACUAAUAUUUGUUUAGUUUAUUUAACAUUAAUUACUAUAAAAUUCACUUUAUUAUUCAUUUUUUAAUGAUUCCUAAUCGAAUUUUCUAUUUUUAUAUAUUAAUAGUCCAGUUAAAUUAGACAAAUGAGAGUAUGAAAAUACGCAUGGAGCUAAAAAUUGGUAUGAAUGAAAACUAUUAACGAUUCCGUAUAUGGAGAAAUUUUUAUUAUUAUAUUUUAUAGUCUCAAAAAUGAAUUUUUCGCGUUUUUUUUUGGAAAAACCGGUAAAUUUUAUCGGAAAAUUAGAUAAGACAAAAAUUGUGCCACCGUUUUUGAGAUACGGGGGUUUUAAAAGUUGAAAUUCUAAUAAUAAACAAACGUUUUUCGGUUAUAAUUGGCACUAUUGAAAACAGUCUAUUAUACGAGUAGGCCGAAGCAACUUUUACGAAAAAAACCGACAUCAAAAGAUUUUAUAAUGAUUUUAUUAAAAAAAAGUGCAGUUCCAGUUCAAAAAUCGGAUUUUUUUCUAAUUUUCUCUAAAAAUUUCAUUCUCUACCCUACGCCGUUCUGGAACAAAGUAGAACACACCUAAAACGACUUGGAACAACCGCUAAAAUCUAGCUGGAACAACUAAUAAUAAUUAAACUAUUUAAUAGGGAUUUAUAAAAAUUGAGGAGGCAGUUCCAUUAUCUGUCCAUGAAACAAAUUAGAACCAACCAGAACAGUUUUCGAAAUUUCUGUAACUUCAAAGGGCGGUGCCAACUUCUUUGGGGUCUUUUAUUCGAAAUUCCGGGUGGUUUUCAACAUAAACGCAAGAAAAAAGCAAAAAAGCAGUUUUUUAAAACUUUUCCGGAAAUAUUUUGAAUGCCCAACGCGAAUUUUGAGACAAAAUAUAUUUAAAAGUGUAAUUCUCUAGAUUUGGUGUCAUUUUUCCUUGAUUUAGUCUGGUUGAUUGGACCAAAAUAACAAAUUAUUGAAAAUUACGUUUCUGCUGGUGAAACAGUCAGUUUUUAUUAACUCGCCACGACAAAUUCCUGUUGCACAUUUCGUUUUAAGUUAACGAUAAUUUCUUAAUGUUGAAAAAUGUAACCGAAAAUUUUGUUUUUUCAUAAGAACGAUCAAAAUCAGUAUUUUUUUUGCCUUUUAACUGUUUCCUUCUUACCAAAAUAUAUGGCACACAUUUCCGGUUGAAAAUAAACUACAAUGGUUUGAAAUACAUAUACAAAGUGCUAUAUAAAUUUGUUUUACACUAUCAUUUAUUCUACUCGAUGAUUUUUUUUCUUAUUACGCUUUACUACAAUAUAAUCAAUUUGAAAAAUUAUCUAGCGUAUCCUGCUAGAACAACAUUGGUCAAAUAGGUACAAUUUUUCAAGAUUUGUCAUUCGAUAACUUAUUUCUAAGAAAAAAAUCGAGUGAUCCCAUAAACUAAAUACAUAUAAAUAUUUAAUCGAACCUAACGAUGAUUUUAUUAACAAUAUGGUGUGAAAAAUAGGCCGAUAUAUAUUUAAAUGACGAGGCUUUUUGGAAACUACGAUCCUGGAUCAGGUAGUUCAGGUAAUUCCAAAGAUAUUUCUGUUUUUUUCCAAAUUUAAAGCUCAACCAAAAAAAAAACUAACCAAAAAUCAUCUACUCCAUUACAUCUGGAAUAGUUGGAAUGCUAAUUGAUAAUCUUCAGCGUUUAGAAGACGGAUUAACUAAGCAUGAUGUCCAUCAAUUGAGAUGUGAAGCAGUUUCUUUGAAACAAGAUUUUGUAAAACAGUUUUUGCGUGAUAUAAGAACAUAGAAGAAAAGUACUGAUCUUGAACCUGAUUCCUAAACUUGCUAUGCCUAGUUGGCUCGCUCAAAAUAUAUAGUACACAAGUUGAGAGGUUAUAACUUGAAUAUUUUUAUUUUAUUGAAUUUUUUAACUCAGCAGAUUAAUUUAUCGAGUCAUAUAAUUGAAGUUAAACUAAUUAUGGAAUAAAAUAUUGAAAUUUUAUAACACGUACCAAUGCAAUUAACUUAAAACUCACAAAACCACACAGAAGACUGGCGGGAAGUUAGUUCUAGUUCAUUUUCACUAUUCACUUAGUUAUAAACAAUUUUCAACGAUGCAUUUCGAAUUUUUAUAACACUACAAAUCAUUUAACACAUUUAUAUUCGAUUAUUUAUCCGAAAAUUUACGUAAUUUUUAACACACACUACUAACAGAUCAUCUUUCGUCUACUUAUGAGAUAAUGAAGUUUUUGACGGGGGUUCGAUCAAGUAACCAUAGCAACACGAUUCUAAUUGGUCAAUAUCGAUCACAUGCGUCAAAUAUUGAUUGUAAUGGCUGACGCGGUACGAAUCAGACGAUCAGGGUCGGCUUAAGGAAUAUAACUUGAUAAGAAUAAAAUUAUAAUUUGUCGGAUGGGAAUCGUAGAAAUAAUAAUUUAUUGGAUCACUCGUUAGAUAAUUACUUAACUACAAAAAUAGUGGGACAAAAAAGUUCUGUGAAAAAUAAUUAAGAAAAAUACAAAAUACGGCAAACGUAAUAAUUAAAAAAAAAGGGAUAUUUAUCUCAUAAUAAACAAAAGUUAAAUAGUAGUUAUUAAAAUAAUCAUCGUAAUUAUAAAAAUAAACAUUUUUUGUCCCAUUUCACACUAUAAUUAACAUGUUAGUAUAUUUGGAGUUAUCGUAUAAUUAUUGAGAUAACUCCGAUCGCUAAGGGCUUGGUUACACGAUGCGAAACCGUUAUACCAGUUGACCACGCUUUAUGUUACUGAAUCAUGUGAGAAAAUGCGAGUAGGUCAAGAUUUUUGGUUUUCCUAUCACGUCGUAAGCAAUUACUUCUUGCAGUAUCUGUCUAUUUAUAUCCAAUAUUAUCAUCUAAUACAGUAGAAACCGUGUAAACAGGCCUUAACAUUUAAAUCAACAAGGUGCUAGUUUUAUAUUUCCGUUUAUGAUAUUAAGAUAUUGUUAAUAAUUUACAAACUUUGCAUAUAUACAUUAAAUAUCAAUUUGAACGGUCUAAAUUGAUGAAAUCAAUUGAAUUUUAUCAAUAUUUCUAUAAAACGUGGCGACUAGUAGGAUAAUUGGUAUAUAAAAUUAAAUAAUGUCAAGCCAAUAAUAUGUCUAUAACAAUGAUAUAUCGUCAUUUUUUUCUCUGACACAUUCAUUCAUUUUUUGCUAAAAUAGCAAUUCAGCUAUCAGGUAUUUCGAUUAUUUUGACGAACCACACACAACACAACACCAAUUAGAAUCAUAACAAUUAAAAAUAAAAUAAAUAAAAAAUUUUACGAGAAUUUUGUUUUCUUGAACCCAAUCCUGUAAACCACCAUUUCAUUUCAUUGCCUGUUCGUAUGUAAUUCGAUGGUAUUGAAAUAAUUAAAUGAGUCAUCAGCAUAUGAUUAUACGUCGUUGAAAACAUCGUUAAUAUUUGGCAACGCUACUUUCGCGGCUGCGUUAUAGAAAAGAAAUUUUGAUAAAGUUAAUAGUUUUUAAGAUAAUUGAUAAAUAAUGAUUCAUGACGCAGAGAGACUGAUGCAACGCAUUAGACAGAGAGAGACGGCGAUACUCAAAGAUAAACGACGUAUACUUUGAAAAGAAUAGAUGAAAAGUACCCAAAUUUGAGACUUUUCUAACCUUCAAAAAUCAUAUCUCUAAAAAUAUUAACGGCUACAAAAAAUUACAUCGUCAAUAGAGCAAUUUGUGUAAAAAAUUUGAGGUGGAAUAGUUUUCGAUACUCAUGCGCAGUUUCCUCCUGGACUACCAUUUCUUUCUUUAUUUAAAAUUGUUAUCAUUGUUAAGACAGACAGGAAAUUAUCAAAAUAAUAUCUAGAUACGCUAUGUUGUCAAAUUUGAGUACACUUACGCUAUACAAUAUUAAAUGUAAAAUCCUAAUUUUAGGUUGUAUUUGCACCAUCAUAUGGAUAUGUAUUAGUAGAACGCGGUGGGGAUGACAUACAUUCAAUAAGAAAUAACGAGUUUCCUAUAUUUCAACGAUUGGAUACAACCGCAAUUAUUUCAAUUUAAGUCUAUGAUUUAAUUAAAUUAAAAUGCAUCCUCGUAUUUUCUUUAUAUUUGCGCUAAAAAUCUUCACGUGAAAUUUGAGACGAUUCAUUUGAGGUCAUGACAGGUCAUUAACAUCGCGUAAAGGCAAUAAACACAGUGAUGCCAAACCUUCAAUUUUUUUCCCUAAACUUAUUUUAGAAUAUACUUAAUUUCUACUAAAAACUCAAAACCUUAUAAAAUUUUCAAUAAAUCUAUGAUGAUUUUUAAUAUUUAUUAUUGGAAAUAUAAAAAUUAUGGAAUAUUUGUAUUUGAAAUUAUUAUUUUUAGACUAUUAUUUUGAGCUGGUAUUUGCUUUGAGCUUGUUCAAUUAAACGAAUAAAUUCUUAUUUAAAAAAUUAGAAAUUUUCUUACCAGAAAAUAACAGAAGGAAUACCCUUACAAAUACUUUUUUCUAAAUAUAGAGAAAAAACUUCUAUCUUGGCAACAUUGUAAGUGUCUGUAGUGUUUUCAAUAUGGAAAAAGAUUUUCAAUAUCCUCCGUCAUUAUGUUUUUUAUCCAUCAUUUAUUUUCUGAAUUUCAUAAUAAAGUAUCUAUAUUUGAUAUGAUUCGUGAUAGAUACAAUAAAAAAGUAUGGAUAUUCAGGAUUGUUGGUAUGUAUAAAAGAUUUUGUCAAACGUUACGUUCAACGUGACGAUAGCACACGCUUUCAAUACAAAUAUCAGUUGGUAGGCCUGAAUUUUUCCUAUAACAUUCUUUCAAUUUGAAAUAUUCAUGUUUCCAUUUGUUGAAAUUUCACAAACUCGUAAUUGAGGUGGGAAAAUUUUCGUUGAAAGCUCAAUACGCUAAAACUAUAACAGAGGCACUAGGGAACUAUAAACUAUACUAUCCCUUAGAUGUAAGAAAUUUUCGUCAAUCUAUUAGCAUACACCGCAAAAUUAUUAUAAAUAUUUUGGUCUAGUUUUGCAAACUUCAAAAAAUAAGUAUCAUUAUAAUUUCACAAAAAAUUUUAUUCGAGGUAAAAAAUUCAAAUUUAGAUAAUUUAGUCUACAUUGUGCCCCGUAUACAUUCAAUUAAGUAAAAAAAAGAAAUUAUUGUUACACAUUUUUCAGUUGCUAAUUCCCUUUAUCCGUAACCUUAAGCACGGCGUCUAUGACAGUCGGCCAUCUUUUUGUUUUUGUACGUGUCUUGUGGCGAUGAAUAAAAUUUUUUGUUUUUUCGACAUAUAAAUAACCAUAAAAGCUUCAAUCCAAACAACAAAAUUGAUACUGAUUACUGAAUAAUAAAAACAAUUCCUUAUCGUUCACAAUUAUUAUAUCUCCAAGUAAGAUAUGUCCAAUUAAGUCAUAAAUGUUUUAACGCCCCUGAGAUCUAGUACGAGACGCGUUAAAUAACUUUUAUAGAACGUAGGCCACUGAAAACAGUCCUCAAUUAUUCAUCACAACAUUAGCAGGAACAUGAAAAUAUCGUUAAAUUCGAAAUUAUUCAGUUAAUGACAAACUGUAUAAUAUAAAAACAAAAUAUCUUCUAUAGACAAGAAUAUACACAAAUAUGUGUAGUUGGUUGCCGCGAUUCGAAAUUUAUUAGAACUUUUUGUAAACUAUGAACCUGGAUCAGAUAGAUAUCACCAAUCAACUGAUUCCGGAAUCGUAGCGAACUUUUAUGAAAUCAUCGAACGGUAUUCAGACCACAAAUCUAAACAACAAUUAAUUUAAAAGAAUAUUCACAGACAUCAGCUGAUCGCUUUCAGAGAUUAGCACAAAGGAUCCUAUCACAUCAGUAAGAUUUAUUCAGAUCUACAACAAAAGUGAUCCGAAUUAUUCUUCGAACAAUCAGAUUAUGAUCGGGUUAACCUGAUCUAUCCAUAGAUUAAGAAAAGCGCUAAAUUCUAUGGUAAGAAUGAAAACUUCUCAUAUAUUAUUUGACAGUAAUGUCGAAAUGAAAUUAGGUUAGUUUUUGGUUGUAAUGAGUUAAAGCUUUUAAAAACAAGAGCUCCCUUGAAACAGAUAAAGAUAUCGAUGAUGAUUAUUACAUUCCACUCGCAGCACAAGAUUCAAAAUGGAAAGGAAUAACUUUUAGAGAGCAGCAAAAUAAUAAUAUAGAACAUUUACAAGGUUCUGUGGAAGAAGAAUGUGUAAUAAAAUUAAUAGAUUUGGAAUCGUUGAGCCCAAUGACGCCGUUAUUACUUUUAUUUCCCGAUUUAAGACACGAAGGAGCCCUGGAACAUUUAACGAUGGUAUCCCAAAAAUCGACAUCUUCGUUAACCAAACUACUUUGUGGCAAAAGGGCGAAAUUAGAAUUAUUACGUCAAAGUAAAAAAUUGAAACAAGGGACAACGCUAGAAACAGUCAAAGAAACAAGUGAUAUCGAUUGGAAAGAAUCGAAAGCUUCAGUGCUCCAAUCGAUAAAAAGUGAGGUUACUGAUUCUGAUCCAUAUUUAGUAGAUGAUAAAGAAACAGAAUCAUCCGAAUCGAAUUAAACAUUAACAUUUCUUAAAAA